GAGACUGCUUCACACCAAUCUGGUUUAGUCUGUUGAGUAUCACUCUUCCUGGAUUGCUCUUUCUCUCUUUCAAGCCUGCGCCAACUCUGAGGAUGUUCGCCUUCAGUCACAGGAAGUCCUCCAAGCAGAAGCUCUAAAAUGAGUGAACAAGACAUGCAAGUGAGUUACUGGGAGAUACACACACACACACACACACACACACACCUCUUGCCAGCUACCUCGAUUUAUUGAUUAUUUUUCAGGGUGCAAAGCAUCAAGCAAUUAAACACUUGUGCCAUAGAUUGUCUCAAUAUUACGUUAUACAACUCUCCUUUCUGUAUAUUAUUACAAUGGUAUUGAUUUUCUUUCUUUCUUUCUUUCUUUCUUUCUUUCUUUCUUUCUUUCUUUCUUCUCUCUCCCCAUUCCCUUCACUAUAACCUAUCUGCUCUAACUCAUUUAGAGAGUUGCCAAAGGAAAGAGCCUAUACAGCACUUUUUGUGACCUCCAAAACUGAACAAAGAGGCACCUUCUAGAAAAUUCUAAAUGGAACGCUUCAUUGUGCCUUCAUGCUAAUUCCUUGUACUUCUCAGGUUUGAAAUCCGAGAUAGUGGCCUCCUCCAAGAAGAAGCAAAAGGCCUGCUCCUUGUCCCAACAAAGAAAGUGCAAGAAGCGAUGGUUCUGUAAAUGGGAUGCAGAAAACAGUCACCAAGGAAGGUUGGAACCAGGACUGAGACAAAUAUACAAAGAUGAACCUUUUGGGCACAUUCUCAACAGCAGUGGAGAAGCA